UUUGUUCCUACAAGUACAGCUGAACUGUCCUUCUCCAGUAAUCUUUAAUACAAUAAUUCUACUACUUAUACGCACAAUCACAUUUGGAAAUGGACCCGAAGAGUUUUAUUGGUGGGUUUAAAGAACUCAGCUUUGAAUUUCAGUCCUUACCAACUACCAGUCAGAAGUCAAAACAGCACUUUCUUGAUUACCAUCUUUUAUCUCUUACAAGUACACCCGAGCUGUUCUUCUCCAGUAAUCUUUAAGAAAAGAAUUUUACUGCUCAUACGCACAACCAAAUUGGCAAUGGAUCGGAAGAGUUUUAUUAAUGGGUUUAAAGAACUUAGGCCUUUGGUGCACUUGCUUUUGCCUCUCUCUAUCCAUUGGAUUGCUGAGGAAAUGACUGUUUCUGUUCUUGUUGAUAUUGUUACUAAUGCUUUAUGUCCUGGGGAGUCCACAUGCGAUGAGGCUAUUUAUCUCAAUGGUCUCCAACAAACGGUGGUUGGAAUUUUCAAGAUGGUGGUAUUACCACUCUUAGGCCAACUUGCUGAUGAGUAUGGGCGUAAACCACUUCUCCUCCUUACUAUAUCCACAUCCAUGAUUCCUUUUGCUUUACUUGCCUGGAACGAAAGCAGAGGAUUCGUGUAUGCCUUCUAUGUGCUUCGUACAGUUUCAUAUGUUCUAAGCCAAGGGAGUGUUUUCUGCAUUUCUGUUGCUUAUGCAGCAGAUUUUGUUAAGGAAGGCAAGAGGGCAGCAGCAUUUAGUUGGAUCACUGGUCUCUUUUCUGCUUCUCAUCUCUUGGGCAAUGUUGUAGCACGUUUUCUUCCUGAUAAUUAUAUAUUUCCAGUUUCAGUUGCUCUCUUGAUCUGUUGCCCUGUGUAUUUGCAAUUCUUUCUAGUUGAGACAAUUGAACCUACUCGAAGUAGGGACCAGGAUUCACCCUUCUUCUCUAGGAUCAUUAAGCUUUUUCACACACGAUAUGAAUCAAUGAGAGAUGCUGUAAUAAUUAGCUUUAGCAGCCAUACACUAAGAGACAUUUCUAUCAUUUCCUUCUUCUAUCAAUUGGGUAUGUCUGGCAUCAGCAGUGUCUUAUUUUACUAUCUAAAGGCAGCAUUCGGUUUUAGCAAAGACCAGUACUCAGAAAUUCUGUCAAUGGUUGGAAUCGGUGAAGUUUUCUCUCAGAUUGUGGUGCUUCCUUUUAUCAAUCCUUUGGUUGGAGAGAAAGUGAUACUAUGUCUGGGGUUACUUGCAUCUAUGGCUUAUGCACUGCUAUAUGGCUUGGCAUGGGCAUCUUGGGUGCCAUACUUGAGUGCCUCUUUUGGAGCCAUUGAUGUCCUUGUGACACCAUCUACUUAUGCUAUCAUUUCUAAAGCAUCAAGCUCAAAAAAUCAGUCGUUCAAUACAGGGAAAAGCACAAGGAUUUGUUGCUGGUGUGCAAUCCAUAGCAAGUUUCUUAUCCCCCAUUGUUAUGAGUCCAUUGACUACUUUGUUCCUGUCUAGCAAUGCCCCUUUCAACUGCAAAGGUUUCAGCAUCAUAGUUGCAUCUCUAUGCAUGAUGGUUGCUUUCUUCUAUGCUUGCCUGCUCAAACCGGAGCAAUACUCAACUCUGGAGGAAGAUACUGAAGCACUGUUAAUUUCCUGAGUCUUGGAUCAUAUGGAAGCUACUGGAAACACAGAAACAGUUAGAAGAAAAACUGAAAAUGAGCGCCAAAAUUAGUUUCAAGUUUGUUAGUUGUUGUAACUUCCUUUCUUCGCUGGCAAAAUAGAAGUUAGCAAGAGAGUUAUGAUUAGAGCUGUAUAUAAACAAUACUUGUAACUCUCUUUUUGUUGGUUAAUGACAUUUUUAUCCUAUUUUCUACAA